AUUGAACGCUGGCGGCAGGCCUAACACAUGCAAGUCGAGCGGAUGAAGGGAGCUUGCUCCUGGAUUCAGCGGCGGACGGGUGAGUAAUGCCUAGGAAUCUGCCUGGUAGUGGGGGAUAACGUCCGGAAACGGGCGCUAAUACCGCAUACGUCCUGAGGGAGAAAGUGGGGGAUCUUCGGACCUCACGCUAUCAGAUGAGCCUAGGUCGGAUUAGCUAGUUGGUGGGUAAAGGCCUACCAAGGCGACGAUCCGUAACUGGUCUGAGAGGAUGAUCAGCCACACUGGUACUGAGACACGGACCAGACUCCGUACGGGAGGCAGCAGUAAGGAUAUUGGUCAAUGGAGGGAACUCUGAACCAGCCAUGCCGCGUGCAGGAAGACAGCCCUC
rnacentral:rRNA from 1 species